rnacentral:rRNA from 1 species
CAGCCGCCGCGGUAAUACGGAGGAUCCAAGCGUUAUCCGGAAUCAUUGGGUUUAAAGGGUCCGUAGGCGGUUUAAUAAGUCAGUGGUGAAAGCCCAUCGCUCAACGGUGGAACGGCCAUUGAUACUGUUAAACUUGAAUUAUUAGGAAGUAACUAGAAUAUGUAGUGUAGCGGUGAAAUGCUUAGAGAUUACAUGGAAUACCAAUUGCGAAGGCAGGUUACUACUAAUGGAUUGACGCUGAUGGACGAAAGCGUGGGUAGCGAACAGGAUUAGAUACCCUGGUAGUCCACGCCGUAAACGAUGGAUACUAGCUGUUGGGAGCAAUCUCAGUGGCUAAGCGAAAGUGAUAAGUAUCCCACCUGGGGAGUACGUUCGCAAGAAUGAAACUCAAAUGAAUUGACGG